rnacentral:rRNA from 1 species
AUUGAACGCUGGCGGCAUGCCUUACACAUGCAAGUCGAACGGCAGCACGGGAGCAAUCCUGGUGGCGAGUGGCGAACGGGUGAGUAAUAUAUCGGAACGUGCCCAGUCGGGGGGAUAACGUAGCGAAAGCUACGCUAAUACCGCAUACGAUCUAUGGAUGAAAGCGGGGGAUCGCAAGACCUCGCGCGAUUGGAGCGGCCGAUAUCAGAUUAGGUAGUUGGUGAGGUAAAGGCUCACCAAGCCGACGAUCUGUAGCUGGUCUGAAGAGGACGA